rnacentral:piRNA from 1 species
UCACAAGACCGAGUUUUGAUUAAGUGGAA